rnacentral:misc_RNA from 1 species
GAUGAAGAACGCAGCGAAAUGCGAUAAGUAAUGUGAAUUGCAGAAUUCAGUGAAUCAUCGAAUCUUUGAACGCACAUUGCGCCCCCUGGUAUUCCGGGGGGCAUGCCUGUCCGAGCGUCAUUACAACCCUCAAGCUCAGCUUGGUGUUGGGCCCCGCCGCCCCGGCGGGCCCUAAAGUCAGUGGCGGCGCCGUCCGGCUCCGAGCGUAGUAAUUCUUCUCGCUCUGGAGGUCCGGUCGUGUGCUCGCCAGCAACCCCCAAUUUUUUUCAGGUUGACCUCGGAUCAGGUAGGGAUACCCGCUGAACUUAAGCAUAUCAAUAAGCGGAGGA